rnacentral:rRNA from 1 species
AGAGUUUGAUCCUGGCUCAGAUUGAACGCUGGCGGCAGGCCUAACACAUGCAAGUCGAGCGGCAGCGGGAAAGUAGCUUGCUACUUUUGCCGGCGAGCGGCGGACGGGUGAGUAAUGCCUGGGGAUCUGCCCARUCGAGGGGGAUAACUACUGGAAACGGUAGCUAAUACCGCAUACGCCCUACGGGGGAAAGCAGGGGACCUUCGGGCCUUGCGCGAUUGGAUGAACCCAGGUGGGAUUAGCUAGUUGGUGAGGUAACGGCUCACCAAGGCGACGAUCCCUAGCUGGUCUGAGAGGAUGAUCAGCCACACUGGAACUGAGACACGGUCCAGACUCCUACGGGAGGCAGCAGUGGGGAAUAUUGCACAAUGGGGGAAACCCUGAUGCAGCCAUGCCGCGUGUGUGAAGAAGGCCUUCGGGUUGUAAAGCACUUUCAGCGAGGAGGAAAGGUCAGUAGCUAAUAUCUGCUGGCUGUGACGUACUCGCAGAAGA